CCUACGGGAGGCAGCAGUGGGGGAUAUUGCACAAUGGGGGGAACCCUGAUGCAGCGACGCCGCGUGGGUGAAGAAGCGCCUCGGCGCGUAAAGCCCUGUCAGCAGGGAAGAAACUGACGGUUACUGAAGAAGAAGCCCCGGCGAACUACGUGCCAGCAGCCGCGGUAAUACGUAGGGGGCAAGCGUUAUCCGGAUUUACUGGGUGUAAAGGGGGCGCAGACGGCGAUGCAAGCCAGGAGUGAAAGCCCGGGGCCCAACCCCGGGACUGCUCGUGGAACUGCGUGGCUGGAGUGCAGGAGGGGCAGGCGGAAGUCCUGGUGUAGCGGUGAAAUGCGUAGAUAUCAGGAGGAACACCGGUGGCGAAGGCGGCCUGCUGGACUGCGACUGACGUUGAGGCCCGAAAGCGUGGGGAGCGAACAGGAUUAGAUACCCCAGUAGUC
rnacentral:rRNA from 1 species